AGGGGAAUCUUGCACAAUGGGCGAAAGCCUGAUGCAGCGACGCCGCGUGCGGGAUGAAGGCCUUCGGGUUGUAAACCGCUUUCAGCAGGGACGAGGCCGCAAGGUGACGGUACCUGCAGAAGAAGCCCCGGCUAACUACGUGCCAGCAGCCGCGGUAAUACGUAGGGGGCAAGCGUUAUCCGGAUUCAUUGGGCGUAAAGCGCGCGUAGGCGGUUUGUUAGGUCAGCCGUUAAAUCUGGGGGCUCAACCCCUAUCCGCUCCUGAUACCGGCAGGCUUGAGUCUGGUAGGGCAAGGCGGAAUUCCAAGUGUCGCGGUGAAAUGCGCAGAUAUUUGGCAGAACACCGGUGGCGAAGGCGUCCUUCUUGUCCACGACUGACGCUGAGGCUCGAAAGCUAGGGGAGCGAACAGG
rnacentral:rRNA from 1 species